rnacentral:rRNA from 14 species
UAAGUAGGGCGGGACACGUGAAAUCCUGUCUGAAGAUCGGAGGACCACCUUCGAAGGCUAAGUACUCCUUACUGACCGAUAGCGAACCAGUACCGUGAGGGAAAGGCGAAAAGAGCCCCUGUGAGGGGAGUGAAAUAGAACCUGAAACCGUAUACGUACAAGCAGUGGGAGCCCUUCGGGGUGACUGCGUACCUUUUGUAUAAUGGGUCAGCGACUUAUAUUUAGUAGCAAGGUUAAGCGAAUAGCGGAGCCGUAGCGAAAGCGAGUGUUAACUGCGCGUUUAGUUGCUAGGUAUAGACCCGAAACCCGGUGAUCUAGCCAUGAGCAGGUUGAAGGUUGAGUAACAUCAACUGGAGGACCGAACCCACUGACGUUGAAAAGUCAGGGGAUGACUUGUGGCUGGGGGUGAAAGGCCAAUCAAACCGGGAAAUAGCUCGUACUCCCCGAAAUGCAUUUAGGUGCAGCGUUGCGUGGUUCUUGUUGGAGGUAGAGCACUGGAUGGUCUAGGGGGCUUA